rnacentral:rRNA from 1 species
AUUGAACGUUGGCGGCGUGGAUUAGGCAUGCAAGUCGAGCGGAAAGGCCCCGCAAGGGGUACUCGAGCGGCGUAAGGGAGAGUAACGCGUGGUUUAUCUACCCUCAGGCCCGGGAUAGCUGCGGGAAACCGCAAUUAAUACCGGAUAAUAUCCCUGGAUCAAAGGUGUGAUUCCGCCUGUGGAUGAGACCGCGUCCUAUUAGCUAGUUGGUAGGGUAAUGGCCUACCAAGGCGAUGAUGGGUACUGGGUGUGAGAGCAUGACCCAGCUCACUGGGACUGAGACACUGCCCAGACACCUACGGGUGGCUGCAGUCGAGGAUCUUCGGCAAUGGGCGCAAGCCUGACCGAGCGACGCCGCGUGUGGGAUGAAGGCCUUCGGGUUGUAAACCACUGUCGUAGGGGAGGAAAUGCAUGGGGGUUCUCCUCCAUGUUUGACCUAUCCUAGGAGGAAGUGUGGGCUAAGUUCGUGCCAGCCGCCGCGGUAAUAC